rnacentral:piRNA from 1 species
UGAAAAAUGUGCGCUUUGCCUCUGUGG